UUACCCGAUCUCCUUCUCGCAGCGGCGGCUGAAUCCUUCUCCAGCGGUGGCGGAAUCCUUCUCCUGCAGCGGCGCAGGUCUCGCUCGGUGUAGUUGGAGACACUCGUAUCAUAAAGCAUUUUUGUAGAUCUUCCCCGUGGUCAUUAGAGGUGACAUCUAAUAUUUUUUUCCCCUCUUGUUCUACAAGCUAUUUGAAGAAAAAUGUUCCGCUCUAAGUCAGAUUCCUCCGCGUGAUGAUGAUGAUGAUGGCGACGAUGAUAACGAUGAUGCUGGAUUGGUGAGGCGAAAUAUGUAUCGGAGAAAAAAGAAGAGAAGAGUUGAUGGGGAUGAAAGCUUUUGUGGAGAAAGAAGAUGAGUUGAUGUAUCUUAGUUUUUUUUUAAAUUUAACUCCUUGUUUAACUUCUUGGAUUAUUAGACUUUAUAAAUAUUUGAGUGUUGAACUUGUAUAA